rnacentral:misc_RNA from 1 species
AUGACAAUCACACUUGUGAAAAUCUUUUUCAUUUUGUUCUUCGAAGAAGCCCUUCCACUGGUCACGGGACCCCGGAUUUCCCCUCUCCGGCCACGUCACCUAGUCACCAUAAAACAGAGGAUAAAGAGAACAACGAUGUAGAAAGCUUGAUGAACUUCCAAGUAAAGCAAGAAACUAAAGAAGAAGAUAAAGAACAGUGUAGUCCUGUUUCUGUAUUGGACCCCCC